GUCGAUCAACAAGCAGGGGCGACAGGGGAUUUCUUCACCCAAACCCUAAUUUGCAAGAAAAUCACAAAUUGGAGCCUCAAAUCAGUUAGAAAUCGAAAUUCAAGCACUGAAUCGUGAUCACCUUGUCAAAGGGAUCCUAAGGCAAGGAAUCCGGAACGUCAAGUGGACACGCCGGAGGUGAUACCCGCGGAAAAGGUGUGCUUUGAAGGUAUGAAUGAAUCUCUCCCGGAUGAUGAUCAAGCACUUUGUCAAGAACCGAACAUGCAAUUUGAAGCUUCCGCACUGAAUAUAAUCUUGUCGAAACUUUAAACAUGUCAUAAAGAUUUUUGUUAAUGGUGUUUUGAAUCCUUUAAACUAGUUGUUAGUUGACUAGUA